AGGGUUUUGAUUAUGGCUCCGGAUUGAACGCUGGCAGGAUGCUUUACACGCACAAGUCGAACAGCGGCACAGUUUCGGUCUGGUGGCAGUGGCGAACUGGUGGAAGUAAUGUAUCGGAACGUGCCUAGUAGCGGGGGAUAACUACGCGGCGUAACUGUCUGCAUACGCCUUCCAGGGAAAGCGGGGGACCUUCGGGCUCACGCUAUUAGAAGCGGCCGAUGUCAGGUUAGCUGAUUGGUGAGGUAACGGCUCACCAAGGCGACGAUCCGUAGCUGGUUUGAAGGACGACCAGCCACACUGGGACUGAGACACGGCCCAGACUCCUACGGGAGGCAGCAGUGGGGGUACGGACAAUGGGGGAAACCUGAUCCAGCCAUCCCGCGUGUGCGAUGAAGGCCUUCCGGGUUGUAAAGCACUUUUUGGCGGAAAGAAACGGCACGGGAUAAUACGUGCAACUGACGGCUCUGCCAAGGAAUAAGCACCAGUAACUACGUGCCAGCAGCCGCGGUAAUACGGCGGGUGCAGCGUUAAUCGGAAUUACUGGGCGUAAAGCGUGCAUGAGCGGUUCAGAAGAAGAGUCUCUUGAAAUCCAAGAGCUUAACUGGAACUGCAUUUUAACUACCGAACUAAAUUAAUAAUGUCAAGAGGGAGGUGGAAUUCCGCGUGUAGCAGUGAAAUGCGUAGAUAUGCGGAGGAACACCGAUGGCGAAGGCAGCUCUGGGAUGUACAACUCAUGCACGGCGUGAGGGAGCAAACAGGAUUAGAUACUGGUGGUCCACGCCCUAAACGAUAUCAACUAGCUGUUGGGGCCUUCGGGCCUUGAUGGCCGGCUAACACGUGAAGUUAAACCCGCCUGGAGAAUACGGUCGCAAAGAUUAAAACUCAAAGGAAUUGACGAGGGGACCCACACAAGCGGUGGAUGAUGUGGAUUAAUUCGAUGCAACGCAAAAACCUUACCUACCCUUGACAUAUCUGGAAUCCCGAAGAGAUUUUGGGAGUGCUCAUAGAGAACGGAACACAGUGCUGCAUGGCUGUCGCCAGCUCGUGUCGUGAGAUGUUGGAGUUAAGUCCGCAACGAGCGCAACCCUUGUCAUUAGUUGCUACGAAGGGCACUCUAAUGAGACUGCCCGGUGACAAACCGGAGGAAGGUGGGGAUGACGUCAAGUCCUCAUGGCCUAUGGGUGAGCUGCACGUCAUACAAUGGUCGGGACAGAGGGUCGCCAACCCGCGAAGGAGCCAAUCCAAACGAUCGUAGUGGAUCGCAGUCUGCAACUCGACUGCGUGAAGUCGGAAUCGCUAGUAGUGGGAUCAGCAUAUGCUGGUGAAUACGUUCCCGGGUCUUGCUUCACACCGCCCGUCACACCAUGGGAGUGGGUUUUACCAGAAGUAGUUAGCCUAACCGUAAGGAAGGCAGUCCUGCAGUAGGUUAUGACUGGGGUGAAGUCGUAACAAGGUAG
rnacentral:rRNA from 1 species